rnacentral:rRNA from 1 species
AUUGAACGCUGGCGGCAGGCCUAACACAUGCAAGUCGAACGGUAACAGGAAGAAGCUUGCUUCUUUGCUGACGAGUGGCGGACGGGUGAGUAAUGUCUGGGAAACUGCCUGAUGGAGGGGGAUAACUACUGGAAACGGUAGCUAAUACCGCAUAACGUCGCAAGACCAAAGAGGGGGAGCUUCGGGCCUCUUGCCAUCGGAUGUGCCCAGAUGGGAUUAGCUAGUAGGUGGGGUAACGGCUCACCUAGGCGACGAUCCCUAGCUGGUCUGAGAGGAUGACCAGCCACACUGGAACUGAGACACGGUCCAGACUCCUACGGGAGGCAGCAGUGGGGAAUAUUGGACAAUGGGCGCAAGCCUGAUGCAGCCAUGCCGCGUGUAUGAAGAAGGCCUUCGGGUUGUAAAGUACUUUUAGCGGGGAGGAAGGGAGUAAAGUUAAUACCUUUGCUCAUUGACGUUACCCGAAGAAGAAGCACCGGCUAACUCCGUG